UCUGAGAGCCGCACUGAGGAGAUGAAGUUGUCACGCGCGACCAGGAAGCCCAGCGAGUGUGAAUGGAGCCGAGUGUUCUCAUCAAACGGAAUAUGGAGCAAAGUUCACCCAAACAAAACAUUUCUGGGAGGCGGAGACAUGGGGCGAGCCUGGAGACUGUUCUGGAAUCUCUCUGGGACUCGGAGGCAGUAACUGACCCGAACGUGGACACGAGGGAGCUUUCAAAGUCUCUCCUAACCUAGCUGCUUCAAGGCCGAAGCUCCUCGUUUACUCCCGCCCCUGAAAGGACAGUCCCCGACCCACGGGGUGAAAAAAAUCCCUGACUUCAUCCGCGUGAAAGCAAGGCCCAAACACCCUGCAAAACCUAAGCUGGCGUAUUGUUGACAGUACGUAGUUAUGUGCAGUUGAACGUAACUAAAGUCACAUCAUAGAAGCUACUGGAUGUCCCUGAGGUCCUGCUUCAGGAACAACGUGGCUAGCGCUACGGGUGUGGUGUGUGGCAACAUCACUUAUUCACACUACUCAGUCCCACAGCUGCUCGUCUUCUCACGGAGACCAAAGCCCACGGCAGCCUGUCCACACCCAGGAAGCCACAGGCUACGCCUGGGUGACGUCACCUGGGAUGAUGGAUGUUAGCCUGGACGCUCUGAGAGCCAGACCAUGCUUCCAACUUUGCUCUCGACCUUGGAUUACUGGGAGCCAGCCAUACUGAAGUAUGGGUUUCUUUGAGCAAGAAAGCUGAAGGAUAUGAGUGUAAAACAGGGUGAGACUAUGUAAACUCCUGGCCACAUCCACGAAAACAUGAAGACACAGAACUGGCUGGCCUUCCAGGUGCUCAGGGACGCCAUGUUCCUGAAGAAACUGAACGCUCAGCGUGAGCUUUCCAGCACUGUCUCCCAGAAUGGUGAUGCUGGCAUUUCCCAUUCACACUCCUCCCGCUCAGCAGGGAGCCCA